UUCUGUCACACUUCUUCCCUUUGUUUUGGCCUGUUUCAAUCCCUUUGUUCUUGUCUUUCACAGACAUUUACACGCCUGUGCGCUUAGCAAUGCUGUUUAUUUAACUCGCAAAGAAACUCCAGUCAUGUAGUACUGAAGCCCUGAGAGACCCAUCAAGUCUACACGGCCAUUCUAACUCAAGAUACUGGGACUGCAGCCAGAGGAAGGAGCUAUUGCCCUGCAGAAAAGACAAAGAACAAUUCCCCUGAGGCAAAACAGAGGAUCGCAUCAGCAAAGUCAAAAAUAUCCAGCCUCUUUUGAUUCUGACUGGCACCCACCUGAAGCCACUAAUCCUGAGCAACUCAGCAGUGGUGACUUUCAUCAUCAAGUGGUACAAAGCUGUCAGCAUAGUUCAAUACCCUCAGCCCCUUCUGCCUCACAUGGAAACCCAUCUCCUGUCUAUGCCAAGGACACUCCCGCCUUUGACAGAGACCUAGCCCAAGCCUAUCUUCUCAGAGAAGACCUUUCUGUCUACGCUAUUCACACCAUGUGGCUGAGCUAGAAACACAUCCGGUGUUACCCAUUAGCGUCAACAAGAAACGCGCCUUUUUAUCAGCUGUUAUGUAGAUUUCAGAAAGCAUUUCGCGUCUCAUUUUGCCAGACAUCUGAGAAAAUUGUUGCAUGCCAGCUGAGCUGUAAGAUGAACCUGCCUGUGAUAAUGGGACCUGGCUUAGCAAAGACAGCAAGGUCAGCUGACACAAGUUCUGUGUUCUGCAAGCUAUAUCCACCAGACUGGUUCAAGAUCAACUCUUUGUUUUUGCAAGGACUAUCAGAUUGUCACCAUGGACCUAGCCCAUGUUUCAUGACAGUUAAUCAGCAAAGAAACCUACAGAUACAUUUGGAAUGAAUGGAUUCAAACAGG